rnacentral:rRNA from 1 species
UAUGUUAGACUUUUCCCAGUACGAAAGGACCGGAGAAGUAAGGCCAAUGCCACAAGCACGCCUCCCCUCUAAGUAAUGAACCCAACUAAACUACCAAGAGGGCCCCACCCCCACGCCCUAGAAAAGGGCCG